CUAUAUAUAGGACUCAUUGUAAACACAACAUAUAUCAAUCAAUAAUACAUCAAUUUUAACACAUUCUUUAGUGAAGAAUUCUCUUUUUCUUAUAAAGCAUUCCAAGGAACAAAACAGAGAUUUCUACGAUUCUAUCAUUCUCAUUUGAUAAGAUGGUAGUUAUUAAAUCUUAAAUAUCUAUAGAAAUUAGUAAAAGUUUGCAAUGGCUCCAAGUUUUGGUGAAGCCUUCUAUGUGCAGAGGACAACAACAGUAAGGAAUGGGGACUUCAAUUUGGGGGCUAGAAAAGCGGUUGUUGAUUGAAUUGGAAAGGAAAAGCACAAAAAUGAAGACAUUCAAGGAUCACUUUUUGAAGAACCUUCUCACGGAGCUCUAUUUUGCACUUGGGAAACAUUUAAGAGGACAUUGAAGGAUAAGAUAGAUUCAAAGUGACACGUAUUAACCAUUUUAAUGUUCUUUUAUAUAUUUGUUAAUCAUUUUAGUAUCUCAAAACUCUCUUCUUAACACGUUCAUCCCACAAAUUGUUAGACUAACAAGCCGGUCUUGCUCAUAGAACAAUGUCAUAAGGUAUUUCGCGCUUCUAUUUAUCAUUGCCAACCGAACUUGAAAAAUUAUGCCUUCUUGUACUCCAUGUAACCAAGUUUCUUGGAGUCUAUUUUUAUGUCCAACAAUGUUUUUAUUUUUAUUAUUUUAUUUUUUAAAGCUAAACAAUGCAUCAUUUAUUGCAGAAACUUUCACCACCAGCUCAAGAUUGGAGAUCACCUUAGCGAGUUCUAACUAGUUGUAAGAAAUAAGAUUAAGCUGAUUACAAUUAUGACAAAUAGUUGUGUGAGUUCUAACAUAUUUUGUGGGGCUUGUUUUAUUUGAAUGUCAUCCCAAACCAGUGCACUGCUAGUUAGUUAAAAUCCAUCAUCUCAAAACUGGGAUAGUUAUAGAUAAAAGUUAUUAGUGAAAACUAACCAUUUUUAUUUCUUUGGUUUCAGUUAAACAUUCACAUAAAUGUUUCUUGACUUCUCUAGUGUCAGAGAAAUUUCAACCCAUUUGAAGCAUCUAUAUUGACAAUUGUGUUUAAGGGACUGAACCUGUGGAAUUUACCAGUGGAAGUUCUUCCAACAAUAAUCUAGAUCUGUAUGUGUUUGAAAGGUGAUGCCAGGAGGUGAAAUUGAUUCAAGUAGUAGUCUAGUGGACAUUUGAAAACUUUUUGCCCAAAACAAUGUCUAGAACUUCUCAGAAGAUUUGAAAGCAAAUUAAGAUUAUGAUGGUGGUCCUGUAAGUUGCAAGGGACAUUGGCAGAGUAAGGAUGGGCCAACCGACAACUUGAAUCUGGGGUAUCCAGUUGUUUUCAGUUUCCUGCAUGCUUAUGCCAUGGCAGGUUUGAAUUCACAGUAAUAGUGACUUGUGAGGAUAAGAGUUUCUAGGUAAUAGUGAUUUUGCUUGAUGUUUUGAGUCGUGCUCUAGAGCUACAACACCAGAGAUAGAUGGAAAUGGUGAAACAUUCUAUAUUGUACCAAGUGGUACUUUUGGAAAAGUUGUCAUUUAUCAUGGAAUUGACUCUGGUUUACAAAUGAUUGAAUAACUGGGUGAAAUUUACUUAUUCAAAUCAAGAGAUAUAUAAGUAGGCACAUCCCAUUGCACUAAUCAGGGGCAUCUACAGUGACUGAGUGGUCAAAGUAGUACGCUAGUUCUAUUGUCUCUUUAGUGAACAUUGAUGCACUGAUCUGGAUGAUCUUGCUAUUUUGUGUUGCUACACUGUAAAAAGUGCCGCUUCUUGAUGAUACUAUGAUUUGCAUGAUCUUGCUAUCUGGUAUGGUGCAACACUGAAAAAAUGCUUCUCCUUGGUGAUGCUGUAAUUUACAUAUUUCUAUUGUCAGCUAAACAGGGUCUUUUUAUGUUGCAAUAAGUUGAAAAUAUUAUUUUCUUCUUCCAGAACUUAUUUUUCUGCUGAGAGAUGUGGCAAAAAUGAAUUAACGCACAAUUAUGAAGUGGUUCAGAUAUGUGGCUUAAGAAAUGGUUUUAGGGAUUGGAUGGUUCACGGAGCCCUUAUUUUGGGUCCAGCAAUGAUUGUACCAAGUUGCAGGUUAAACAAAGUCCACAUUGUAUGCAGAAAACAUAUCGAUGGAAUUGCUGCAUCCAGGUCAGACAUCUUACUUCUCUAACAUAUCGAUGGAACUGCUGCAUCCAGUUAUACCCUUUACUCAUACCAUGAUACACACACUCCUCCUCUGGCCGGGGCGGCGGGGACGACGACUCAAAGUUCAAUAGUGUACCAAGAAAUCAAGCAAUCGAAGAAGUGAUUUUCAUGGUUGAUACCUUCGUUUGUGGUAGCUAAUAUUGUCAUGUUUGUAAUCAUGUUCAUCAAUGAUUGCCCGAAGAACUCUGGCUCUUGCGUUGCUGGGUUUUUAGGGAGGUUCUUGUCCACAGCACUCUUUCUCAAUUGCAAAAUUCUUGGUUACCAUUGCACAUACCAUUUCUCCCAUUUUACCUCACAUUCAGUGCUAUUUCUACAAUAUUACAGAUGUGCUUAUGUUUAAAGUAAACAUGGAGAUUGAAGAGGAGCUGAUAAUA